rnacentral:siRNA from 1 species
UGGAUAUACAAAUUGUGGU